rnacentral:rRNA from 1 species
UGAGGAAUAUUGCACAAUGGGCGAAAGCCUGAUGCAGCAACGCCGCGUGAGGGACGAAGGCCUUCGGGUCGUAAACCUCUUUUCUGGGGGACGAGUAAGGACGGUACCUCAGGAAUAAGUCUCGGCUAACUACGUGCCAGCAGCCGCGGUAAAACGUAGGAGGCGGGCGUUACCCGGAUUUACUGGGCGUAAAGCGUACGCAGGUGGCUUCGUGAGUCGGACAUGAAAGCUCCCGGCUUAACUGGGAGAGGUUGUUCGAUACUGCGGGGCCUGAGGUUGGGAGAGGGACGUGGAAUUCCCGGUGUAGUGGUGGAAUGCGUAGAUAUCGGGAGGAACACCAGUGGCGCAAGCGGCGUCCUGGCCCACACCUGACGCUGAGGUACGAAAGCGUGGGUAGCAGACAG